CUUAGCUUCCUUGUUUAUAAAUUAGAAAUAGUAACAGUGCCAAACAUUGGAUGAUUGUUAGGACUGAAAAGAUAAUGCUUUUAACUAGUAUCUGACUGAAUAAAGUUCAGAAUAAAAGUUGCCAUCUAUUAUUUUUAUAUCUAAUUCUGACCUGGAAGAAAGCUAGUCAUAUCAGGUCCACUAGAAGUAUCCAUAGCUAACUAGUAAGUUCUUGCCUGGAAUGUGCCCUGGUUCUCACAGCCUAGCUGGCUGCUUGAGGAAAAAGCAUGAUUUUGUUCUUACUACCAUCUCUUACCACACUCUCUCUUCCCUUGGCCUUGGGAGCUCUAUCCUGGAAUCCCUCCCACCUCUCAAGACAAAGGGACAAGUGUCCUUUUGGAGGUAUUAAUGAUAUGGCCCAGAUCUUCCAGGCCUAUUGUGGCUCCCACCUUGGAUUCCAUCUUAGCUUCAGAGGAAGUGCACACCCAGGAACUUGGAAGCAAACUGCUACAUCCACGUUUUCCAUUCAGAUCACCAAAUUGAAUCUGCUUGCAAAUGUCCAGCCUGGUGUGCGUUCUCCGUGAUUUAUCCUGAAUGGAUAAAACAUUAAUGAAGAAAAUCAAAACAAAUGCAUCUCCCAGACUCUCCAGCAAGGAUGUUUUUUUACACAGUCUAUCUGAGAAAGAAGACAAGAGGAUGGAGAGGAAAAGCCGUCUCCAUGUGACUCCUUGGCAUUUCAUCAUCAAUCAGCAUAAAGUCAGAAACAUCACUAAGUAUUGAAGUUGAAAUUAACUGCAACCUCUGACGGAAAAGUACUUAUUUAGAAUCUUUCAGUUAGUUUCUGUAAUGAAAUAUGGCAAUGAAUUAGCCACACGAUGGUCUGGAGAAAGGUGCUUAAUAAGAAAAACUGCUCAUGUUGGGAAGCCAAGUUCUUCUCAUGUUUAUUUUAGUGACCUCUCCUCUUCCUUUCUCCCUUCUCCCCACCACCCCCCAAAGCUGUCCUUUUGUGAAGCCAUCAUGGCUGACAACAGAGGCAAAUUGUUCUGAAGAACUUUGAUUAGACUUAAAUUUUGCAAGGUGUCAGGAGCCCUUGUAAUUGUUAAAAGUCCAGAGGCUCUCAAAGAUUGGUAUUCAAAAGAGAGGCAGAGUGUACAAGGGUUAGAGGUUGGGGUUCUGCAGCCCCACUACUUGGAUUGGAAACUGGUCCCCCAACAUUUACUCCUGAGACCUUGAGGAAGUCACUUGGUGUGAGCCUCAGUUUCUUCAUCUGUAAAAUAGGUACAAUAAUAACAAAACUCAUGUCAUGGGUAGGUAUUAUGAUAUCAAAAAAAAAAGCUAGAAUAGAAUAGAAUCUGAUACCUAGAAAUAAUCUUUAAAUGGUUACUGCUUUUGUGUAGGAAAAAUUUAGGAUGUGUUUUUAAAAUGUAGAUCUCUGGAUUCCCACUUUGAGAGAUUCCAACUUAUUAAAUGUGAAUCAGAGCCCAGAUAUCUGUAUUUUUAUCAACAUCCCAGGUACUCCUGAACCACACUUGAAGUGGCACAGAUUUGACCAAACCCCCUGUUUGGAAGAUAAGAAAAAUGAGUUCUAGAAGGCAAAAUGCCAGUGUCAAGGUAAACAGUGAUCCACCUGAUAUCUCAAGCCCCUCAUCUUCCAUUCUAACUAAUGUGGUCUCCAUCAUAGCCACCUCCAUUUAUUGAGCCUUUAGUAUGAGGUUCUUAACCAGAAGGGCAUAUCAGAAACACCUAAAGAGCCUUUCCAAAUACUCAAGGUCAUUGUCCAGCCCAGAUCUGUGGAAUUUCAUGACAAGUGGCAGAUCUCAGACCUGAACCCAAUGGUCCCUGAUUGUUUUAUGGUACCAGCUAACUUUUCAUUAGCUUCUCAUGCUCAUCUUAGGCUAGAGCUGAGGGCAUAUACUUUAACUCAUAUUUGAGUCAUUUUUCUUUCCUAACCAUACUGCUGGAUUAUGGUACUAUAACAGAUAUAAAUUAUUAACUAAUAAAUAUAUUUUCAGUUUAUUUCUCUUUCCUUCA
rnacentral:lncRNA from 1 species